rnacentral:SRP_RNA from 1 species
GCUGGGUGUUGUGGUGGGCACUUGUAGUCCCAGCUACUUGGGAGGCUGAGGCAGGAGGAUCACUUGAGCCCAGGAGUCUGAGGUUGCUGUGAGCUAUGGCACCACUGCACUCUACCCAGGGCAACAGAGUGAGACUCUGUCUCAA